rnacentral:rRNA from 1 species
AUUGAACGCUGCCGGCACGCCUAACACAUGCAAGUCGAACGAGUGGCGGACGGGUGAGUAAUGUCUGGGAAACUGACCGAUGGAGGGGGAUAACUACUGGAAACGGUAGCUACUCCCGCAUACCAUCGGAUGUGCCCAGAUGGGAUUAGCUGGUAGGUGGGGUAACGGCUCACCUAGGCGACGAUCCCUAGCUGGUCUGAGAGGAUGAACAGCCACACUGGAACGACGACACGGACCAGACUCCUACGGGAGGCAGCAGUGGGGAAUAUUGCACAGUGGGCGCAAGCCUUAUGCAGCAAGGCCGCGUGUAUGAGGAAGGCCUUCGGGUUGUAAAGUACUUUCAGCGAGGAGGCGGUACUCGCAGAAGAAGCACCGGCUAACUCCGUGCCAGCAGCCGCGGUAAUUC